rnacentral:rRNA from 1 species
AGCGAACGUUAGCGGCGGGCCUAACACAUGCAAGUCGAACGAGAAUAGGGGGGCAACUCCCUUAGUAAAGUGGCGGACGGGUGCGUAACACGUGGGUAAUCUACCUUCCGGCGGGGGACGAACAGUCCGAAAGGAUUGCUAAUACCGCGUACGUCAGCGAGAUCUACGGGUCUUGUUGGGAAAGAUGGCCUCUCCUUGGAAGCUGUCACCGGAAGAUGAGCCCGCGGCCCAUCAGCUAGUUGGUGAGGAAUGGCUCACCAAGGCUUAGACGGGUAGCUGGUCUGAGAGGAUGAUCAGCCACACUGGGACUGCGACACGGCCCAGACUCCUACGGGAGGCAGCAGUGGGGAAUAUUGGGCAAUGGGC